UAGGCUUUAAAAGCGAACAGCAUGGAUCCCGACCAGACUGCGCGGAUGCGCAGGCUGGUCUGGAUCCAUGCUGGUCGCAAAGCCACUAUGUUGGUUUUCUCAUGGCGUGGCUCAAAUGUUUUAUUGGAAUAACGGACACCAUAAAUGUUUACAAACGCAUCUGCAUAGUUUACUUUCAAAGUUUAAGAGUGUAACACAUUGUCUCGUGUCUAAGUAUUGAUUGAAAUAUAACUGCGUAUUGUAUAGCAGAAUUUCAUUGUUUUAAACAGAAGGAUAUUCAUUUUGUUUUGUUAUGGAAUGGAAACGGGAAACAUAGUGAAUUAUAAAUAAUCAUAACUCCUUUCGAGAUACCAUCCUGCUAAUAGCUGAAUCCUGUUUCAUUUCCAGAUUGUGCUGGUACAUUCGGGCUAAUAUGGAGCGUUAUAAAACAUCCUCUCUUGAAGCAGAAAGGUCUUUUGAGCGACAUUAACAAACACAAAUAUAUACCGGUGCUCAAUAGAUUUGGUUAUUCAAACAGAUGGACAAACUUCGCCAUUGUGUCAGAGAAAUCUCCAGAUAAAACAAUGUCAGCCUUAUAGUUAGCACAAAGUUCACAGCUCGGGGUAGAAAGUGUUCACAUGUUAUUAAACGUUGUGGUCAAAAUCAGCAAACAGUUAGCAGUGAGAAGCAUGGACCAAAACCAACGCUUAGGAACACGCGCAUUUUAAGCAUAAUUUCAUCAAAUUUGAACUCAAAUGGGCUGCGUUUCCUUUCGGAAAUACACAAGCAGACACUGAAAUUGAUGGAUCCAUCAGUGACAUUUAAGAGCGUUUAUAUUAACUUUUGAUUUGCCAUACUUAACAUGCAGCAACUUUUUGGGACAACAUAGAUUAAAGGAAGUUUAUCGAUGAACAAGAAGGAAAUAACUCGGUUGGUGGAGGAAACUAUUUCACCACUCGUCAGUUUUAAAGUGUCUUUAAACAAUUGAAUAUUAAAGUGAUCUCUGGAUCAGGACAAACAUUUGUAAAAUUACAAAACCAUGUAUUAGCAUCGAGAAACUUUGGCAUGAAACUGUGUUUAAUGAUAACAUUUGCCUCAAAGUAAGCGCAACGUGAAACUUUGAAUAAUAAAAAAUAACCUGUCAUAAAAAGCUUUAUUGAAGAAGAAAUAUAAUUAUGUAUUAAAAUGGUAUCAUUGUU
rnacentral:lncRNA from 1 species